CUGUCGCACAGACUGCUGCAGCGCAAAACAACAUUACUGGGCACGGUGAAUAAAGUCCGGCGUGAACUUCCUCAACUUGCAAAAGAUACUGCAAAGCGAGAGUUCCAUGCACCAAGACGUGACGAUCGGUGACGGCAGAAAGAGGAAACCCAACACGAUAACAGACUAUAACCACAUGAAGUGUGGUGUAGACGUGUUGGACCAAAUGGCAUGGAUGUAUUCCGUAAGAGCAGCAACACGCAGGUGGCCAGUAGCGGUUUUCUACAAUAUGCUGGACCUGGCGGCAGUGAAUGCCUACAUUUUGUACAAGGCAUGUACAGGGUGGACAGGCAAAAGAAGAUUGUUUCUGAGUCUUCUAGCUCAGCAACUUCGUUGCCGAUUCAUGCAGCACAAGGAAAUAUUACAACGCAGACAACGCAGUGCCAGGUGCAAGAGAGCUGCAACAGGAAUCGCAGCAGGUUUACCUGUGCAACAUGUCAGAAAUUCACCUGUGCCAAAUGCAGGUAUGAUGGACACUGGGUCUGCAA